rnacentral:tRNA from 1 species
GCCGGGGUGGCGAAAUUGGCAGACGCAAGGGACUUAAAAUCCCUCGGUCAGUAUUGACCGUGCCGGUUCGAGUCCGGCCCUCGGCA